AGAGGGUGCGAGCGUUAAUCGGAAUUACUGGGCGUAAAGGGCGCGUAGGUGGACUAGAAAGUCGGGUGUGAAAGCCCCAGGCUCAACCUGGGAACUGCAUUCGAAACUUCUAGUCUAGAGUACAGUAGAGGGAAGUGGAAUUUCCGGUGUAGCGGUGAAAUGCGUAGAGAUCGGAAGGAACAUCAGUGGCGAAGGCGACUUCCUGGACUGAUACUGACACUGAGGCGCGAAAGCGUGGGGAGCGAACAGGGAUUAGAUACCCUGGUAGUCCACGCCGUAAACGAUGAGAACUAGCCCGUUGGGGGGGCCCUUGAGCUUCUUAGUGGCGCAGCUAACGCGAUAAGUUCUCCGCCUGGGGAGUACGGCCGCAAGGCUA
rnacentral:rRNA from 1 species